rnacentral:tRNA from 1 species
AAUUUUUUAGUAUACUAUUGUACGUCUAGCUUCCAACUAGAAAGCCUAAAAACCUUAGAAAAAUUA